rnacentral:rRNA from 1 species
AGUGAACGCUGGCGGUAGGCCUAACACAUGCAAGUCGAACGGCAGCACAGUAAUAGCUUGCUCUUACGGGUGGCGAGUGGCGGACGGGUGAGGAAUACAUCGGAAUCUACUUUUUCGUGGGGGAUAACGUAGGGAAACUUACGCUAAUACCGCAUACGACCUACGGGUGAAAGCAGGGGAUCUUUGGACCUUGCGCGAUUGAAUGAGCCGAUGUCGGAUUAGCUAGUUGGCGGGGUAAAGGCCCACCAAGGCGACGAUCCGUAGCUGGUCUGAGAGGAUGAUCAGCCACACUGGAAGUGAGACACGGUCCAGACUCCUACGGGAGGCAGCAGUGGGGAAUAUUGGGCAAUGGGCGCAAGCCUGAUCCAGCCAUACCGCGUGGGUGAAGAAGGCCUUCGGGUUGUAAAGCCCUUUUGUUGGGAAAGAAAAGCAGCAGGUUAAUACCCCGCUGUUCUGACGGUACCCAAAGAAUAAGCACCGGCUAACUUCGUG